GCGUCAAUGACCAAGCCUGUUUUACCAUACCGGUCAGAAAAAUGCUGAUCUCUGAUUGGUUAAUACAUGUCCAAUCACAGUUUAGAAUUCCCAACGGCAUACAACUGUUUAUUUGUCUAUCAGAUAAGGAUUUUCAUUGAGAACUUGGUGCAAUGGGGGAGAACAAAUCAAUAUAUAAACAUUUCUCUGCAUUACCUCUGCAACCUAACCAAAAAUCGUAUUCAUGUAACUAUUGCAAGAAAAAGUAUGCAGAAAACAUUACUCGCAUGCGAAAACAUCUUUAUAAAGAGUGUAGAAGUUGUCCUCAAGACUUACGGAAACUUUUAAAACCAUGUAAACCUCGUAAACGAAAUAAUUCUCAUCUAAACAGCACAGACGACUCAUUUACUAUUGAAGAUUUGAAUGAAGCAGACAAUAGAGCAAGUACUUCAAUGAUUUCAAAUGAAAAUUUACCAAAUAAUAUAAGUGUUUGUAGCAAUAACUAUAAAAAAAAUACAAUCGAUAGUUUUUGUGAUAAAAUGUCAAAAAAAGAUGAAGAUUCUCUACAAGAACUACUUGCAGAAGCGAUUUAUGCAUCUGGUACACCAUUAUGUAUAACAGAAAAUCCAUAUUGGCUAAAAUUUUUUAACGCAUUACGGCCUUCAUUUAAUUUGCCAUCAAGAAAUCAAAUAUCAAAUAAUCUUUUAGAUUCAGUAUUCGUUAGAACACAAAAUAUGGUUAAUGAAAAAAUUGAAUCUGCUACUACUGUUGGAGUGCAAUGUGACGCAUGGUCUAAUAUUCGCAAAGAAGGAAUCAUCAAUUUUAUUGUAACAACCCCAGCGCCAGUUUUUUUCAAAACAUUUCCAACUGGAACCGAAUCACAAACUGCCUUAUAUAUUUCUGAAAAAAUAGGAAGUGUUAUUGAUGCUUUGGGAAUUAAAAAAGUUAUCGGAAUUUGUACAGAUAAUUGUGCUGCAAUGAAAAGUGCUUGGACUUUGAUAGAUCAAAAGUAUAAUGUCGACAAAUUGUAUUGUUAUGGUUGUGCUGCUCACAUUCUUAACCUACUCAUGAAAGAUAUUGGUAGUCAAGCAAUAUUGGAAAUAUUUUUUCGGAAGAAGAAAAGCUGAGCAUAUAUACUUGUUUAGAAAAUCGUAAAACUAUGGCUCUACGGCCCAUACAUUAUGCAGCUAACUUACUUGAUCCUCAAUUAAAAGGAAAAAAUUUAAAUAGAUUUAACAGAUUAUGUGUCAGAAUCAAGUAUGUGGAGUUACGACUACGUUAAGCGAGCAAGUAUAAUCACUUCAGCAUGUCAAUGGUGGCAAAGUAUUUGCCAAAAAUCUUCGUUGAGCAAAAUAGCUGUGGCUAUAUUGACUUUACCUGCAACAUCAGCUGCAACCGAGCGUUCCUUUAGUACACAAGGAUGGAUUCAUUCAUCUAAAAGAAAUAAGUUAAGUAUCGAUAGAGCUGGAAAAAUAACAUACAUUGCAAGAAAUUUAAAAUUACUUAAUCCUUCACCAAAAAAUACAGAAGAAGAAUGGGAAGAAGAUGAGGAAAGUAAUAAAGGAGAGGAUGAAAUAAGUGAAAUUUGUGCUGAGCAUGAAGAAGUUGAAUUUUUAGAAGAAGAAUUUACUCAAGACUAAUUAGUGAUGUUGAUGGAAUUGAAUCAGUAUUAGACUUGUUAUUUCCUAAUGAAAUAUGUCAAUUAUUA
rnacentral:misc_RNA from 1 species